GAAUUGAUUUAUAUACAAUUGGAACAUAAAAUUUGUCGUAAACUCACAUGUUGAAAAGAGUAAAAUUCCAACGAAUGUCAAAGCUGAUUU
rfam:Arabidopsis lyrata subsp. lyrata unplaced genomic scaffold ARALYscaffold_7, whole genome shotgun sequence.